rnacentral:rRNA from 1 species
UACGUAGGGUGCGAGCGUUAAUCGGAAUUACUGGGCGUAAAGCGUGCGCAGGCGGUUCGUUGUGUCGGCGGUGAAAGCCCCGGGCUUAACCUGGGAAUGGCCGUUGAAACUGGCGAACUGGAGUGUGGCAGAGGGGGGUGGAAUUCCGCGUGUAGCAGUGAAAUGCGUAGAGAUGCGGAGGAACACCGAUGGCGAAGGCAGCCCCCUGGGCUAACACUGACGCUGAGACGCGAAAGCGUGGGGAGCAAACAGG